UGUCUAACUACCCCCUACUGUUAACAAGUCUGUUAAUUAGCUAACGAAAACACCAUGCCAAACGUCUUCCACUCCUAAUUAACUCAAUGUAAACCCUAAUUAAUUAAGUCCAAUUAUAAGCUCAAAUUCUUAAUUUACACAAAAACAAUUUGCGUUUCACAUCAGUUGGCAGCAUUAUGGGCGAGGACUGAUCUUUAGCUGCAUAUGUUGGCCUGAUCAAGCUCUUCAUCCACGACACCUCUUCCUUUGGACUGAUAUUCCUUUUAUUUUAUUUUUUUUUAUUUCAAUUAGUUAGACUUAAUUUGGGGUUAAUUGGAUUAAUUAUGAGGUGAAGGACAUUUGAUGUGGUGUUUUCAUUAGCUCUCAACAACUUUGUUGACAAUAGGGUAUAAUUAAAAUAAGAUAAAAGUACAUAAUUUAAUAAAUUUUUUAAUUUACAAUAAAAUUGUGAAACUUUUAAAAGUUGAUUUUUUUUUUUUUA
rnacentral:misc_RNA from 1 species